rnacentral:rRNA from 1 species
GCCAGCAGCCAUGUCACCCUGCAACUCACAACUGGCAGCCCACUGAAGCUCAGCAGGUGUGAGCCUGGUCAGUACCUGGAUGGGAGACCUCCUGGGAAAAACUAUGGUUGCUGCAGGAA